GAUGAACGCUGGCGGCGUGCCUAAUACAUGCAAGUCGAGCGAACGGACGAGAAGCUUGCUUCUCUGAUGUUAGCGGCGGACGGGUGAGUAACACGUGGAUAACCUACCUAUAAGACUGGGAUAACUUCGGGAAACCGGAGCUAAUACCGGAUAAUAUUUUGAACCGCAUGGUUCAAAAGUGAAAGACGGUCUUGCUGUCACUUAUAGAUGGAUCCGCGCUGCAUUAGCUAGUUGGUAAGGUAACGGCUUACCAAGGCAACGAUGCAUAGCCGACCUGAGAGGGCGAUCGGCCACACUGGAACUGAGACACGGUCCAGACUCCUACGGGAGGCAGCAGUAGGGAAUCUUCCGCAAUGGGCGAAAGCCUGACGGAGCAACGCCGCGUGAGUGAUGAAGGUCUUCGGAUCGUAAAACUCUGUUAUUGGGGAAGAACAUAUGUGUAAGUAACUGUGCACAUCUUGACGGUACCUAAUCAGAAAGCCACGGCUAACUACGUG
rnacentral:rRNA from 1 species